rnacentral:lncRNA from 1 species
GUUAGUUAGAAACAUAGCCCUUCCUGGAGGAUCUUCCCUUUGAUAAAGAGAAAAGACUCACUAGAGGCUGGAUUGUCAGUGGAAGGGAGAGGAGGGGAACAGCCUGAUGCCGGGAGCCUUUUUGCUCACUCCCACCGUGAAGUCAAGAAAAGGACUGUUAUCAACACUUGCAAAUGAAGAAACAGAGGCCCAGAGAGAUCAGGGAUGUGUCCAAGGCCACCCAGCCAGAUGGCGGCAGAGCUGGGACAGGAUGUUGGUGCGUUUCACUCUAAGCUGGGUCUUUUCCAUAAUGCUGGCCUGCAGAGACUCUGCCUGGGCACAGGAGUGUGGAAAGGGUGAAGCCCAGGGAGGCGCGUGGAGAGGGUGGAUAAGGCAGGAGGUCCGGAAUCAGAGGACCUGCCUUAGGAGCCGAACACUGUCUCUUCCUCGGAAGGUAGUUAAUGCCUCUGAGCCUCUGCUUGCUCACUAGUAAUGCGGGGAUAACACCCCUGUCCACUCUCAUCCACCAGGAUUCCUGUGAGGACCAAAAAUGAGAGAAUGUGCUUGAAGAAUAGUUGCAAACUGCAAAAGGCUGCCCACAGGCUCAAUUCCAGGAAGCGAGGGCUGGACUCUCUCUGCACUGUUCACACCCUUCCUUUUGGGGAGGCAGCAGGCUCAGAAAUAGCCUUCGCUUCUAUCCUCCCCGCUUCCCCUGGGAUUCGGGCUGAGUGUUUUCUUCUUGAAAAACAAAAAAUCAAAGCAGUUGCAGAAAAACCAAAAGCUCUUUUCUGCUUCCCC